UGACCUUUGUGACCGUUAUAAUGGGCAUUUAGAAUUGAAGUGCUCCUUAUUACGAUCAGAAGGGUCU
rfam:Lottia gigantea unplaced genomic scaffold LOTGIsca_150, whole genome shotgun sequence.